CGCGUAGGCGGGAUGGCAAGUCGGUCGUGAAAUCCCUCGGCUCAACUGAGGAGCGUCGAUCGAAACUGCCGUUCUUGAGGGCUGCAGAGGAGACUGGAAUUCCCGGUGUAGCGGUGAAAUGUGUAGAGAUCGGGAGGAAUACCGGUGGCGAAGGCGGGUCUCUGGGCAACUCCUGACGCUGAGGCGCGAAAGCGUGGGGAGCAAACG
rnacentral:rRNA from 1 species